UUCAUGGCGGAUCGCGCGGGGAGGCCUUCGGGCCUGCCGGUACCUGUUCCCGGUUCGUCAACCCCGCGCGGUCCGCCUCCCU
rnacentral:antisense_RNA from 1 species